CUCCUCCCUCCACGCUCGGGCCCUGCAGGCCUCUAUCACAGCCGGAAGCACAGACUGCUUGCUCUCUUCCUCUGCCUUUCCCAGCUCAGGAGUCUGAGAGCUCCAGACUCCAGGCCUGGCUCUGAUAGUGGCUACACCGUGGGACUCCGGGCCACUGUCUCAACUGGCUGUGCCUCCGUUUCUUCAUCUGCAGAAUGGGAGUUUCCACACCUCUCAAAGAGACCACGCCAGCCACGUGGUAGCAGCUCGGUAAUUAACAGCUGUACCCCCGCAGAGCAAGGCCCACCGCUGCUGGGGAAGAUGCCUUCUGGCCUGUGGACUCUGAGACCAGCCUACCCUUCUCUACUCCACCUGCACGUGAACACCUGUGACCCUGCUCAUUCCCUAUCAGCACAGCCGACCUUGUAGGAGCUAAGCAGUUCAUCUAGGUCAGUGCUUCUGGGAGUGUGGGGUCUGCUGGCAACAAGCAGACUCUGGGCACACCCCAGACACAGCAUCAGUCACAGUGGGGAGGAUACUGGUUUUGCAGUGGUCUUUGAAUUCUACAAACUGUACCCAGGAGGAAGUCUGUCUGGUGCCAGUGUGUCGCACUUGCUAACCCUCCCUCUUAACAAAGAGAAGGCAGGAACCUAAGAGCUCCAGAGAUAGCAGUCUCUAGGUAGACCUUGCUACCACUGUGCUGCCUGAUGUAGUUAUUUUUAUUGUUACUCUCUAUCCUAGCAAAUAAUAACUAACUUUUCCUGUACAGUGGGUUAUAGUUUCUCUAUAAAAUUAAGUGAAAAAAAAAUACUGAAUAAUAAUUAGUGUAGGUGAUAGGUGGCCAUAGCACAGACUGUGGAGGUGGGGGGUAGGCGAAUGAAGUUCAGGAAAGCUCACUGGAUGAUCUCUGGGCAGAAGCCCCAGGACUCCCAGCUGCCUGAGAGCUCAUCUUCAACUUGGUUCUGUGCCUAGCCUCCCCUGGCCCCUUUUGGGGACUCAGUUUUCCCUAUCCAUAAAAUGAACAGAAAAGCCCUUGUGGUCCUAACAGUCUCUGUUUAGGGCUUUUGCCUUUUUGUCUGACCCUUCUGAUUCUUAGGAGAGGCGAUGUGGACCCAGAAUAGUCAAGGUCAUAGAGGUAAAAAGGGCAGAACCAAGCCAGCUCCCAAGUAAGCAUCUGGCCACCUUCUCACUCAGCAAAGCCGUUCACUGCCUGGGAAGCACAUGGAGACCACAAGUUCAGCCAUCAAGGAUUCCUUACUCUCCUGCCUGUCCCCAGACACAGCUGUGGAAGGCAGGAAUGAACCGCAUGGAGCCAGCCACGUGUCUGCAUUUGGAGACUUGGAGCCCACAGGCCUGGGUUCCUGCAGAACUGUAGGCACCAACUAAAAGGCUGCUGUCUCCUGGCCCAGCUCCCCACUAGACCACUGGCCCUGGAAGGGCAGCGGCCAUGGCCUGGGAUCAUGGUCUCCCCACUGCUGCACAGAAACACACAGUGUAGAACCGAGCUAUGUGAAUGAAUGGGAGAGCGCGGGCCUGCCUGGAGAGAUGCUUCCACCACCUGCUCUUGAUUUCCUGUGUGUGGGUGUGCGUGCAUGUUCGUGUGCCGGGGACAGGGAGGAUGAAGCCACACCAAGUGUUUCCCAAACAGCGGCUGUUCAAAAGCAUCAGGUAACGCACAGAUCACUUCCUUUUGCUUUAGGCCUAAAUGAGCUCAGCAUCACCAAUUGCCGGCCCAAGAGGCGUCCUCAGAAGAUUCACCAACCCACGUUGAUUAGGGGCUGUCAAGUGCCAGGCUCUGUGCUGAGCAGUUUGGAUGCCGAUCUGCUUGAAUCCUUGCAGUGCUUCCCUUAGGCAGGCAGCAUUCCAUCAUCCCCGUUGUAUACGCGAGAAAACCGAAGUUCGGAGAGCUUAAGUACCCUGCACUGGGUCCCACUGUCAGGAAGUGGGGAGCUGGGAUUUAAGCCAGGUCAGUGGGCCCCCAGAGCUUGAGGCUGAACCAUCAGGCAGCCCCACCUUCAGCACACAGUGGUAGGGACAGAGUGAAGGCAGGAGGUCUUCUUGGACAGCAGAGUGGGAGGGGCGUCUUGGAGCCCAGAGAUGCUGGCCGGAGGUCACACCCAGGGUGGGUGACAGUGCUUCCCCGGGGUGAGGGAGCCAGGGUUGGAAGGGCCUGGUCAUGACGAAAGGGGCUGGGGGAUUGUGAGGAUUAGGACUGGUCAGGAUCAAGACUGGCUCAGAGCAAGCGCCAAGUUCUUCCCUGUGAGGGCCCUCAGCAGUUGUUCCCCAGAACACAAAGACACCUUCCUGGCAGUCCCCAGCGCCCAAGCCUCUCCAGACUGAGGGUCUAGCAGGUACUGGCCCCCUUCUCAGGACCUCAGCUCCUGCCCCUGCUCGGCAGGUGAAAAAGCACAAGAGGAACCCUGGGCUCCAUUCCUGCUC